UAAGCCCCUUCGGGCACUCGGACGAAGCCUGCUCCGGUCCAGGAAGGAAUCCUGUCCUGGAUGUACUGCCGCUCCACUAUGCUGACCCCCUGAGGACAAGGGAAAAUGGCUUUCCAGGAAAUGUAACAGUUAAAGAAAUCUGAAGUCACCCCAAGGUCAAAACUAUAGUCAUUCUACCUAUUUUUUGCAGUCAAAUUUACUUGGUAGAGGGUACAAGUUUUGAGGCAUAAAGAGGAUAUAGGUUACUUCUUGGUUUUCUGGUUGGGGUAGUCUUGGGACCUCGGAGACGGGACUCAAAGGCUUGGGAGACACCUUCUAGGAUAGAGCCAGGAAUGAGCAUAAAGAAAGGAGAGAGAACGUCCCAAACACUUUGUAAGCAAGCUGAGGAGUGACGAGCUACUUCCCAGAUUUUCUACAAGGCUAGUCCUGUAUCUGGUAGACGUGCUCACCCCCUCACUGUGUUCAUCUCAAACUCCAAGUACAACUGAAGAAACAUCAGAUCAUCACGAGGGCUCCCUACUGAGGAGUUGAUUCUGAUUGUCAGGGAGACUGAAGAUUGACCAAUUUCAGUGUAACCACUGACAGACCUGCCUGACUUGCCGCUAGACAGCAAAUUGCUUCAAAGUUCGGACUGUGCCUCCCUUACCUCAGUUGGGCCCUUCAUACCCUCGUGGGGUCUGGCCCAGUGCACACAGCGCACUCAAACACUGACUGAACAAAUAAAUGCACGAAGGAUACACAUUCUGAAUAAAAAAUAUUAAAAAAAAAAAAGAAAAAUAGGAGAUUCAUGCAAAAGGAAGAACUUUAACUAAACACAUGGUUUCAGACGCUUCCUGAGGGAACACACGUGUACAAAUAGCAACCACCGAAGAAGGAAGCAACCAGACUCUGCACACGGCAACAGCAGACAGCACGCAAGUGAAGGGGACCGUACCGACGACACGCGGACGCCCGAUUCUGAAUUCUGAAGGUGAGACAACUCACGAGAACCCAGUCACGUGAGAGGAGCUCCCGUAACACCUGUCCUGGCCAUCGCAGGCCGCUCUGUGUCCACAGCGGGAAGGAUGGUCUCCGACAGGCCCGCCGCCUCCUGGAUGCCUGCACCCCGAGCAAAUGUGUUCCUGUGGCUUCCCCUGGCCCUG